rnacentral:rRNA from 1 species
UACGGAGGGUGCGAGCGUUGUCCGGAAUCACUGGGCGUAAAGGGCGCGUAGGCGGCCGGCCAAGUCGGGGGUGAAAGCCUGUGGCUCAACCACAGAAUGGCCCUCGAUACUGGCUGGCUCGAGACCGGAAGAGGUUGGUGGAAUUGCGAGUGUAGAGGUGAAAUUCGUAGAUAUUCGCAAGAACACCAGUGGCGAAGGCGGCUCACUGGCCCGGUACUGACGCUGAGGUGCGAAAGCGUGGGGAGCAAACAGG